GUGACUACAGGCAUGUGCCACCAUGCCCAACUAAUUUUUUUGUAUUUUUAAUAGAGACGAGGUUUCACCAUGUUGGCCAGGCUGGUCUCGAACUCUUGACCUCAGGUAAUCCACCCAUCUUGGCCUCCCAAAGUGCUGGGAUUACAGGCGUGAGCCACCGCGCCUGGCCUGUUUUUAUUUUUUAUCGUAGCCAUCCUAGUAGGUGUCAAGUGUAGUUCAUUAUAGUUUUGUUUCACAUUUCACUGAUGCCUAACGCUCUUGAGCAUCUUUUCAUGUAUUAUCAGCCAUUUGUUUUCCUUCUUUGGAAAAAUAUAUAUUCACUAGAUCGUUUGCCCAUUUUUUGUUCGGACCGUCUUUUCAUUGUUGUAAAGAUUUGUUGAUAUAUGCUAGAUGCUAGGCCCUUAUCAGAUGUAUGGUUUGCAGAUGUUUUCUUCCAUCCUAUGUGUUGUCUUUACACCUUUUGAUGGUAUUUUCUGAAGCAUGAAAGUUACAUUUUGAUGAAGUCCAAUUUAUUUAUUUUUUUUCUUUUGUCACUUGUGCUUUUGGUGUUUUAUCUAAGAAAUCAUUGCCAAAUCCAAGGCCAUGACAAUUCAUGCCUAUGUUUUCUUCCAAGAGUUUCACCAUUUAGGGGUUAGAUUUGGGUCUUUGAUACAUUUUGAGUAGAUUUUUCUACAUGUUGUGAGGUGAGGUCUGAUUUGCUUCUUUGUGUGUUGUUACAGCACCAUUUGUUGAAAAGACUUCUCCUGGCCAGGCAGGGUGGCUCACGCCUGUAAUCCCAGUACUUUGGGAGGCUGAGGCGGGUAGAUCACCUGAGGUCAGGAGUUCAAGACCAGCCUUACCAACAUGGUGAAACCCCGUCUCUACUAAUAAUACAAAAAAAUGUGCUGGGCAUGGUGGCGGGCACCUGUAUUCCCAGCUACUCCGGGGACUGAGACAGGAGAAUCGCUUGAACCUGGGAGGCGGAGGUUGCACUGAGCCAAGAUCAUGCCAUUACACUCCAGCCUGGGUGACAAGAGCAAAAGUCAUCUCCAAAAAAAGAAAAGAAAAUACUUUUCUUUCCCCCAUUCAGUUGUCUUGGUACCUUGUCAAAAACCAAUAAACAUGAGGGUUUAUUUCUGGGCACUCUAAUUCUUGUCUAUUGGUCUGUAUGUUUAUCCUUAUGCCCGUGCCACACAAUCUUGAUUACUGUAGCUUUGUAGUAAGUUUUGAAAUUGGGAAGUGUGAGUCCGUGAGUCCUCCAACUUUUUUUUCAACAUUGUUUUGGCUAUUCUGCAUCUCUUUAAUUUCCAUAUUCAUUUUAGUAUCAGCUUGUUAAUUUCUGUAAAAGGCAGCUGGGAUUUCAAUAGGGCUUGUCCUGGGUGUGUGGACCAAUUUUGAAGGUAUGCCAUCUUGAAAAUAGUAGUCUUCCAAUCCAUGAACAUGGGAUGUCUUUCCAUUUAUUUGGGUCUUUUAACUUUUAUUUGUUAAACAUUUUACAGAAUUCACCACUGAAGCCAUCUGAUCUUAGGCUUUACUUUGUGGGAAGUUUUAAAAUUACUAAUGUAACCUCUUUGCUUGUUAUAUUUAUUCAGAUUUUAUAUUUCUUCUCGAGUCCAUCUUGAUUGAUUGUGUCUUUCCAGGAAUUUGUUUAAUUUGAAUCUUCACCCUUUUUUUCUUGGUCAGUCUAGCUAAAAGCUUGUCAAUUUGUUGAUCUUUUCAAGGAGUCAACUUUUGGUUUUGAUGAUGUUCUCUAUUAUUUUCCUAUUUUCUAUUUAUUUCUACUCCAGUCUUUACUAUUUUCUUCCUUCUGCCUGUGUCAGAUUUAGUUCAUUUUCUUUUUCCAGUUUUUUAAGGUGGAAUGUUUAUCAUUUUGGAAUCUUGCUUUUUGCAAUGUAAGCAUCUAUGGCUAUAAAUUACUAAGUCCUGCAAUAGAUGUAUCUGUUAGUGUAUUAUUUCCACGAUUUUAAUUAAUCUUAAAGUAUUUUCUAAUUUAUCUUGUAAUUUUUUUCUUUGAUUCAUUGAUUUCUAGGAGUCUGUUGUUAAGUUUUCACAUAUCUGUUUUUGAUUUUUAAUUUUAUUUUAUUAUAAUUAGAGAACUUACUUUGUAUGAUUUAACUUCUUUCAGAUGUAUGGAGGCUUGUUAUGUGGUAUAACAUAUGGUCUAGCCUGGAGAAUAUUCAACGGACACAUGAGAAGAAUGUACAUUCUAUUAUUGUUGAGUGGAGUGCUCUAUAAAUGUCAAUUAAGUCUACUUGGUUUUUAGUAUUUUUCAGUCUUCUGUUUCUCUGUCAAUUUCUGCCUAGUUGUUCUAUUUAUUAUUGAAAGUGGGGGAUUGAAGUCUCCAGUAUUAUUUUAAAAUUAUUUAUUUCUCCCUUCAGUUAUGUCUGUUUUGGCUCCACAUGUUUAGGGGCUGUAUUGUUAGGUGCAUACAUUUUUAUGAUUCUUACUUUCUUAUGAAUCCUUGCAUGAUGAUAAAAAAAUGUCCUUCCUUGCCACUAGUAACAAUUUUUGUGUUAAAGUCUAUUUUGUCGGAUAUUAAUAUAGCCAUUAUAGCUCUUUUUAGUUACUGUUUGCAUGGUGUAUCUUUGUUCAUCUCUUUACUUUCAACCUAUUUGUGUCUUUGAAUCUAAAUUGUGUCUCUUGCAGACAGUGUAUAAUUAGGUCAUGUUUUUCCCCAUUCCACCUUCUUUAUUAGAUUAUUUAAUCCAUUUACAUUUAGUGUGAUUACUGGAGUUACAUCUGCCAUUUUGCUAUUUGUUUUCUAUAUGUCUUUUUUGUUCCUUUAUGUCUUCAUUAAUACCUUCUUUUGUGUUAAAUACAUACUUUCUAGUGUACUGUUUCAAUUUUUUGUUUCUUUUGCUAUAUAUAUAUAUAUAUAUAUAUAUUUAAAGUAUUUUCUCAAUUGUUGCCUUAGGGAUUAGAAUUUAUAUCUUAAUUUAUAACCAUCUAGUUCUAAUUAAGAAGGAUUGUGGAGCCAGGCGUGGUGGCUGAAGCCUGUAGUCUCAGCACUUUGGGAGGCCGAGGUGGGCGGAUCACGAGAUCGAGACACUGAGACCAUCCUGGCCAACAUGGUGAAACCCCGUCUCUACUAAAAAUACAAAAAAAAAUUAGCUGGGCAUGGUUGCAGGCGCCUAUAGGCCCAGCUACUCAGGAGGCUGAGGCAGGAGAAUCACUUGAACCUGGGAGGCGGAGGUUGCAGUGAGCCAAGAUCGCACCACUGCACUCCAGCAUGGCAACAGAGUGAGAAUCAGUCUCAAAAAAAAAAAAAAGAAGGACUGGGGACUUGCAAACUCUUCAGAGAAUACAACUUUUGGGUGUUGUCUUCCACCCCAUGCUAACACUCCUUCUUUGCCACUGGAAGAAACUUGAUCUGAUGGUGAUCUUAUUAGCAAGCAGGACCAUGUGGCCCUUUUAGUUUCUGCUUAUCUCCCAGAGCCAAGGUUUUAACUGAGCCAGUGCUCACUUUUGUCAGAAAGGAACUGGUAAGUAUCUGUCUUUCUAGUCUCUU
rnacentral:lncRNA from 1 species